GUUAUAUGGUCAAGCGAAUAAGCGCACACGGUGGAUGCCUUGGCGGUCAGAGGCGAUGAAGGACGUGGCAGCCUGCGAAAAGUAUCGGGGAGCUGGCAACAAGCUUUGAUCCGGUAAUGUCCGAAUGGGGAAACCCACCCGCUUGCGGGUAUCCUGCAGUGAAUACAUAGCUGCUGGAAGCGAACCUGGUGAACUGAAAUAUCUAAGUAACCAGAGGAAAAGAAAUCAACCGAGAUUCCGUAAGUAGCGACGAGCGAACGCGGACUAGCCCUUAAGCUGAUUUGGUUCUAGGAAAACGCUCUGGAAAGAGUGGCCAUAGAAGGUGAUAGCCCUGUAUCUGAAAGGGCCAUUUCAGUGAAGACGAGUAGGGCGGGGCACGUGAAACCCUGUCUGAACAUGGGGGGACCAUCCUCCAAGGCUAAAUACUACUGACCGACCGAUAGUGAACCAGUACCGUGAGGGAAAGGCGAAAAGAACCCCGGAGAGGGGAGUGAAAUAGAACCUGAAACCGUGUGCGUACAAGCAGUAGGAGCUCCGCAAGGAGUGACUGCGUACCUUUUGUAUAAUGGGUCAGCGACUUACUGUUCGUGGCAAGCUUAACCGUAUAGGGGAGGCGAAGGGAAACCGAGUCUGAUAAGGGCGCAUAGUCGCGGGCAGUAGACCCGAAACCGGGUGAUCUAGUCAUGCCCAGGGUGAAGGUGCGGUAACACGCACUGGAGGCCCGAACCCACUCCCGUUGCAAAGGUAGGGGAUGAGGUGUGAUUAGGAGUGAAAAGCUAAUCGAACCCGGAGAUAGCUGGUUCUCCUCGAAAGCUAUUUAGGUAGCGCCUCAUAUGUAUCCUCUCGGGGGUAGAGCACUGUUAUGGCUAGGGGGUCAUCGCGACUUACCAAACCAUUGCAAACUCCGAAUACCGAGACGGACUGUAUGGGAGACACACGGCGGGUGCUAACGUCCGUCGUGAAAAGGGAAACAACCCAGACCCACAGCUAAGGUCCCAAAUUUUGUGCUAAGUGGAAAACCAUGUGGAAAGGCACAGACAGCCAGGAGGUUGGCUUAGAAGCAGCCACCCUUUAAAGAAAGCGUAAUAGCUCACUGGUCGAGUCGGUCUGCGGGGAAGAUUUAACGGGGCUAAGCACAGAACCGAAGCUUGGGGUGCAUACUUUGUAUGCGCGGUAGAGGAGCGUUCCGUAAGCCGUUGAAGGUGGAUUGAGAAGUCUGCUGGAGGUAUCGGAAGUGCGAAUGCUGACAUGAGUAACGAUAAUGCGGGUGAAAAACCCGCACGCCGAAAGCCCAAGGUUUCCUUGCGCAACGUUAAUCGGCGCAGGGUGAGUCGGCCCCUAAGGCGAGGACGAAAGUCGUAGUCGAUGGGAAGCAGGUUAAUAUUCCUGCACCUCGCGUAAGUGCGAUGGAGGGACGGAGAAGGUUAGGUGUACCAGGCGUUGGUUGUCCUGGGGAAAGGCGGUAGGUUUGGAUCUUUGGCAAAUCCGGGAUCCUUCAAGACCGAGCACCGAGACGAGCCUUUAAGGCGAAGUCACUGAUACCACGCUUCCAGGAAAAGCUCCUAAGCUUCAGCUUACGCAGACCGUACCGUAAACCGACACAGGUGGGUAGGAUGAGAAUUCUCAGGCGCUUGAGAGAACUCGGGUGAAGGAACUAGGCAACAUGGCACCGUAACUUCGGGAGAAGGUGCACCCUUUUUGGUGGCUCGUGCGAGCUAUAGCUGAAGAGGGUCGCAGUAACCAGGCCGCUGCGACUGUUUAUCAAAAACACAGCACUCUGCAAACACGAAAGUGGACGUAUAGGGUGUGACGCCUGCCCGGUGCUGGAAGGUUAAUUGAUGGGGUCAGCCGCAAGGCGAAGCUCUUGAUCGAAGCCCCAGUAAACGGCGGCCGUAACUAUAACGGUCCUAAGGUAGCGAAAUUCCUUGUCGGGUAAGUUCCGACCUGCACGAAUGGCGUAACGACAGCGGCGCUGUCUCCACCCGAGACUCAGUGAAAUUGAAAUCGCUGUGAAGAUGCAGCGUUCCCGUGGCAAGACGGAAAGACCCCGUGAACCUUUACUAUAGCUUUACACUGAACGUUGAGUUCGUCUGUGUAGGAUAGGUGGGAGGCUAUGAAACCAUGGCGCUAGCUGUGGUGGAGCCAUCCUUGAAAUACCACCCUGUCGUGCUUGACGUUCUAACCUAGGCCCAUUAUCUGGGUCGGGGACCGUGUAUGGUGGGUAGUUUGACUGGGGCGGUCUCCUCCUAAAGAGUAACGGAGGAGCUCGAAGGUACGCUCAGCGCGGUCGGACAUCGCGCACUGUGUGCAAAGGCAUAAGCGUGCUUGACUGCAAGAUCGACGGAUCAAGCAGGUAGGAAACUAGGACUUAGUGAUCCGGUGGUUCUGUAUGGAAGGGCCAUCGCUCAACGGAUAAAAGGUACUCCGGGGAUAACAGGCUGAUACCGCCCAAGAGUUCAUAUCGACGGCGGUGUUUGGCACCUCGAUGUCGGCUCAUCACAUCCUGGGGCUGUAGUCGGUCCCAAGGGUAUGGCUGUUCGCCAUUUAAAGUGGUACGCGAGCUGGGUUCAGAACGUCGUGAGACAGUUCGGUCCCUAUCUGCCAUGGGCGUUGGAGAUUUGAGAGGGGCUGCUCCUAGUACGAGAGGACCGGAGUGGACGAACCUCUGGUGUUCCGGUUGUCACGCCAGUGGCAUUGCCGGGUAGCUAUGUUCGGAAGCGAUAACCGCUGAAAGCAUCUAAGCGGGAAGCGCGCCUCAAGAUGAGAUCUCCCGGGGCACAAGCCCCCUGAAGGAACCAUGUAGACUACGUGGUUGAUAGGUCAGGUGUGUAAGUACAGCAAUGUAUUGAGCUAACUGAUACUAAUGAUCCGUGCGGCUUGACCAUAUAACCU
rnacentral:rRNA from 1 species